GAUGAACGCUGGCGGCGUGCCUAAUACAUGCAAGUAGAACGCUGAAGCUUGGUGCUUGCACCGAGCGGAUGAGUUGCGAACGGGUGAGUAACGCGUAGGUAACCUGCCUCUUAGCGGGGGAUAACUAUUGGAAACGAUAGCUAAUACCGCAUAAAAGUCGAUAUCGCAUGAUAUUGAUUUGAAAGGUGCAAAUGCAUCACUAAGAGAUGGACCUGCGUUGUAUUAGCUAGUUGGUGAGGUAACGGCUCACCAAGGCGACGAUACAUAGCCGACCUGAGAGGGUGAUCGGCCACACUGGGACUGAGACACGGCCCAGACUCCUACGGGAGGCAGCAGUAGGGAAUCUUCGGCAAUGGGGGCAACCCUGACCGAGCAACGCCGCGUGAGUGAAGAAGGUUUUCGGAUCGUAAAGCUCUGUUGUAAGAGAAGAACGAGUGUAAGAGUGGAAAGUUCACACUGUGACGGUAACUUACCAGAAAGGGACGGCUAACUACGUG
rnacentral:rRNA from 1 species